rnacentral:rRNA from 1 species
GAUGAACGCUGGCGGCGUGCCUAAUACAUGCAAGUCGAGCGAACGGACGAGAAGCUUGCUUCUCUGAUGUUAGCGGCGGACGGGUGAGUAACACGUGGAUGACCUACCUAUAAGACUGGGAUAACUUCGGGAAACCGUAGCUAAUACCGGAUAAUAUUUUGAACCGCAUGGUUCAAAAGUGAAAGACGGUCUUGCUGUCACUUAUAGAUGGAUCCGCGCUGCAUUAGCUAGUUGGUAAGGUAACGGCUUACCAAGGCAACGAUGCAUAGCCGACCUGAGAGGGUGAUCGGCCACACUGGAACUGAGACACGGUCCAGACUCCUACGGGAGGCAGCAGUAGGGAAUCUUCCGCAAUGGGCGAAAGCCUGACGGAGCAACGCCGCGUGAGUGAUGAAGGUCUUCGGAUCGUAAAACUCUGUUAUUAGGGAAGAACAUAUGUGUAAGUAACUGUGCACAUCUUGACGGUACCUAAUCAGAAAGCCACGGCUAACUACGUG